UACGUAGGCAGCGAGCGUUGUUCGGAAUUACUGGGCGUAAAGAGUGUGUAGGCGGUGUUCUAAGUCUGGUGUGAAAUCUCCCGGCUCAACUGGGAGGGUGCGCCGGAAACUGGAAUGCUAGAGGGUGGGAGAGGUAAGCGGAAUUCCUGGUGUAGCGGUGAAAUGCGUAGAUAUCGUAAGGAAGACCAGUGGCGAAGGCGGGUCUCUGGACAGUUCCUGACGCUGAGGCACGAAGGUCAGGGGAGCAAACGGG
rnacentral:rRNA from 1 species